rnacentral:rRNA from 1 species
UACAGAGGGGGCAAGCGUUGUUCGGAAUUACUGGGCGUAAAGGGCGCGUAGGCGGCCUCUUAAGUCGAACGUGAAAUCCCCGGGCUCAACCCGGGAACUGCGUCCGAUACUGGGAGGCUUGAAUCCGGGAGAGGGAUGUGGAAUUCCAGGUGUAGCGGUGAGAUGCGUAGAUAUCUGGAGGAACACCGGUGGCGAAGGCGGCAUCCUGGACCGGUAUUGACGCUGAGGCGCGAAAGCCAGGGGAGCAAACGGG